UGGGGGAUAUUGCACAAUGGAGGAAACUCUGAUGCAGCGACGCCGCGUGAGUGAAGAAGUAUUUCGGUAUGUAAAGCUCUAUCAGCAGGGAAGAUGAUGACGGUACCUGACUAAGAAGCCCCGGCUAACUACGUGCCAGCAGCCGCGGUAAUACGUAGGGGGCAAGCGUUAUCCGGAUUUACUGGGUGUAAAGGGAGCGCAGGCGGUUUGGCAAGUUGAGAGUGGAAGCAGGGGGCUCAACCCCCUGACUGCUCCCAAAACUGUUAAACUUGAGUAUGGGAGAGGCAGGCGGAAUUCCUAGUGUAGCGGUGAAAUGCUUAGAUAUUAGGAAGAACACCGGUGGCGAAGGCGGCCUGCUGGACCAAAACUGACGCUGAGGCUCGAAAGCGUGGGUAGCAAACAGGAUUAGAUACCCUGGUAGUCCACGCUGUAAACGAUGAAUACUAGGUGCUGGGAGGCAUAAGCCUUUCGGUGCCGUCGCAAACGCAUUAAGUAUUCCACCUGGGGAGUACGUUCGCAAGAAUG
rnacentral:rRNA from 1 species